UCAAAAACCCAACACCAAGGUUAAUGAGAAAAAAGUUUCAUUAAUUACAGAACUUUACAUAUUGUCAAGUUGCAGUAACUCAACUAUGAUAUUCCACUGCGAGGUAACUGAACUUACAACCCAUUCCCUCCAUCCAUCACUACCUACACAGUCGUUUGGAAGUCGUCUGAGGUGGCAAGACGGAGUCAUACGCGGCAGUGGACAGCGUCUUCAUAAGGCCAUGUAAGAGUCGAUUCAUUCCUAAACCUAAAUCGUCCCCCUGGAUCGAACCUUAAUCUCCCAACCCCCAUUGCGAUUGAAUCUGCAAGAAUACAAGGAACCCAAAUUUGAUUGGGUAAGAAAUUGAAAUCAGUUGUUUUGUUGGUGCAAGCUACCUUCAUUUGUCAUAUUUGUGGUUGAUUCAAUAACCAAUUUGAGGUCUGAACGUUAUUUUUCAUCUCUUCGAUGGCAGACAUUUUUAAUGCUUUACAAAUGCCAAAUUCUGAGGAUAAUUAGUAUGUGAUGAAGUGUAUAAUGAAAGUUCUUGGGGUUGGUGAUGUUGCUUUACUCUUGGAAUUGAAUUGGUUAAUUUUUUGAAAAUAUGUUCUUGUACCAUAUGCUUAGGCUUUUACUUUAGUAGCAUUUAGUUUACUCCUGAAUUUAAUUAUUAGUUGUUUUGGAGUCUUAAUGUAGCUAAAUACAUAUUGGUCUGAAAAGAAUGUUAAUUUAUAGCAGAUUAGAGGCAAGUCUUGGGCAGCUGUGCCCGUAAUAUGAAUCUCGUGAUUAAAUGAUUUUACAAAUUUAGGUCCUUUAUGCAGAGUAGAAACCUGCUGGUUAGUGUUAACAUCUAUUUUCUAAUAGAAUUUAUGCUCUACUAUUGUACGUGAAUAGGGAUAAGUGUUUCUAAAGAUUUAGAAAAUUAGAUAUAAUAAAUUGGGACAAUAAAUUCAUGAAGUCCAUCACGAUUUCUUGACCAGGAAAUGAUAAUUUGCACCCAUGGCAGCCCGAGAAGAAAUGAAAGAUGUUGCCAUCAAUUUUGCAUCACCACGGCCAACUCUUCUGUGGAAAACAUCAUCAUCAAAUGAGUAAAACACAGUUUUGAAAGAAGCACAAGAUGAGCCAAGGGAUAGUGCUCUACAAAGUUUUCUUGAAACCAAUAUUGAAGGAGCUGAUCUUUGAUUGGUGACUUACUAAUUGAUUGCAAAAGACUGGCUAUGCAAGGAAAGGCUGAUGAUUGUUUUGUUUAAAGACAAGAGUAAUGAAGGGUGCAUAUGUGUAUGUCUGUGGCACAUAUAAGAACAAUAGCCCUCUCUAUUAUUUUUAUGAAAAUAUGGCCUAUUAUUAGUUGUAUGAUAAAUGUUUUCUUUCUCAUUAUUUCCACAAAUGUGAAGUUGUUAAAAUGAAUCAUUAUUUCCUAUUUAUAUGACCAAUUCCUAGUAGCAAUACUGGAUCAUUGUUGUAAAUAAUGUCAAGGAUUCCUUAGUAAGACUAUGUUGUAUUGCAAG
rnacentral:lncRNA from 1 species